GAGAGAGGAGGCUAUCUCCACCUACACCUACAUGACCUCAACGACGCCGGAACGCGAGGGCGAUCGUCGAAAUCGAACCGGAACGGAGAGAGGACGAGAGGGAUGUUCUCACCGAGCCCUAUAGAUGUGCAAAAAUGGGCUUGGGGAGGCUUGACGGUGCGGCGACGGAGGGGUUGGCGGUGUGGAUGUCUGAGGAGGCGCCCGCGAUGGUGGUCGGAGAGGCCCCCAGCGAGGCAGGGCCGGUGAAGACGUCGGGAGGGCCGGCGAUGGCGGUGGUCGAGCAGGCCGGCGAAGGUGCUCUAGCGUGGUGGAACCGAGGCGCGGCGGCGGCGGAUGUGGCCCGGGGCGGGGUGGCGUGGUCCCGGUGCGGCGCGGCAUGGCGAGGGGCGAGGGCACGCCUCGGUGAUGGUGGUGCGGCAGGAUCUCGGCUCCAGGGAGGAGCAAGGUGGCGCGGGGUGGGGCGCGCUGGCGAGAGGGUGUUGGGGGCUUCGAUGGGGCGACGGGGAGGGCUCCAGCAAGGGGAGAUGGGGCGCUGGGGAGGAGAGGCCAGGGUGGUGAGGGAAGCCGCCGGGAUCGACGGGAUCUAGGGCGCAGGGGGCUCCGUGGGGAAGGAGUUGGGGCGAGCGGGAGGCAAAGUGGGGGCGACGGCGGGUGGAGCGACUGGAGGGGAGGGCCGACGGCGCGAGCGAGACGGUGGGGCGAGGUGAUCUAGGAGGAGGGUGGCAGAGCCUCGGUCGUGGGGGAGAGAGGGGAGGCAGGGCUUCGUGGGUUGGUGGGACGAGCGAAGGUGCGGGGCUCGUGAGCGAGAGAGGGAGCAGUGAGGGUCUCAGUCGCCAGGGGGGUGGGGCGACGAGGGGUGGGACUGGCGGUGUUGGGAGAGUGGGAAGGGGGUGGGCACCGGUUAGGGUUAGCCCUGGUGAUGGGUGGGGCUGUGAGGUGGCCGGGUGGGUAGGUUUUAGAUGGGCCGGCCGGCUCAUUCGGGGGUGGGGGUUUUGUUCCUUUUAUUUUUCAUUUUUCAUUUUCUUUCUUGUUUUCUUUUCUUUAUUACUGUUUUCGAUUGACUUUAUUUCGGUGAAAUCAAUUCCUUCAAAAUUAAUAAUUCCUAAAGGAAAUUUGCUUAAGAACUAUUUGACAAACAUCGAACAUUUCUUUUCUUAUAUUUGAAUUUGAACUGCUUUGAGCUAAUGUGAAUUAAACAAUAGCAACCUUGAUGACGUGGCACCAUUAGCAUAGGCUUACUUAGUUUAAUUACGGAGGCUACUGUAGCUUAAGUUACUGGGGCGUCACAAGGGGGGGGGCUGGGAGCGCGACGGUCGACACGGGGAAGAGGUUGCCCCUGUGUACCCGUCACCGUGUUCGAGGCACCUCUCAGGGGAUCCGGGCGCUCCCCGCUGGUGGCCCGAGCAGUCGCGGGAGGGGUCCCAUUUGCGGGCGUGGCAGACAAGGCGUUCGCGGACGGGGCCAGCGGAGCGGGAUGGGCACCCGGCCUUCCAGGUUGCGAAGUCACUCUGUCAACGCAGCCCGUGAGUUCAUCGUACGGAUGGAGGGUUGGCCUCGCACAUGGCUCCGGCUCCCGGACUAUUUCAUGGAGGACAUGGAGGAGCACACGCCCCUGGCCCUAUGGCUGCUGCCAGAUAGCUGCUGCAACGGUCCUUCUUCGGUCGCGACGGAGUUCAACUCCCUCGGCUUCAUGUCCUUGGGGCGCUGGUGGAAGUCGUUCGCCCUUGUCCAAGGUUUGUAGGGAGGACACAUCCUCCACUUCAAGGUCGAUGGGGCCGCCACGCUCUUGAUGAAGGCCUUCGGAAGCGCCAACGGGCGCCUGGACUACUGCAUGGAAGGUGACAGUAGCGGCAGCAACGGCCCAUCCGGCAGCGACAGCUCCUCCUCCGGGAGGAGAUGGGCGACAUCGAAUACGAUGGUUCCCCGAGCACCCAUGUCAAGGAGGAGGUGGGCUCCGACUAAGAGCGCGAUGAUGGCAUUGAGAUUCCUGGCGAUGGUGCUUCGAGAGCCCGAUCUUCUUCCUUUAGUGUUGUCUUCCCUUUCCUGUAAUGCAACAUGCUGGCCCCAUGGGGGCAUGUAAAAAGGGGUUAUGUCUUUCACACUUCAAAUCGAACGCUAUUUUAGAUCAAAAAUAAACCUCUCCCUGGUAUUCUUUCUCAAGUUUGAACCCUCUCCAAGGUCAUGCCAAUGCCUCGUGUUGCUAAGCCCCAACCCCGAGCGUGGUUACGAGGGCUCCUGAGGCACGACAUUCAGGGGCUCGCCUUCAGAGUGCUAGCGGCUCGCGCGAGGGGUCGCUGUUUGUGGGGCCAACCUCGCAAGGCCCCUUGAGGGAAGUCCCGUGGAGAAAACACAUUGUCCCGACGGUACACGCUUGCCUUCUUACAUUUGGGUGUUACGCGAGAAGUAUAGACACCAAGGGCCUUGAUGAGGUGAUGAGCGCGUGGGUGUUCCUGCGAGCUGGAACACAGUUCUCUAGGUUCUCAUCACCGUCGGGGCAAACCCAGGCGAAGGCACCGUGCCCAGCCCCCGUAAGCGUGAGGCCCAAGGUAAGGCUAGAAAGCCCGUGCCGGGGGGUAUCUAACACUGCUCGGCCGAGCGCCUUCCACCCUAAGGUGGUGCGGCCCCCGGGGGCAUUCUUCAUGAUCUUCUCCUCAACGCGAUGCAUGGGGUUUUCACUAGGCAUGGGCGUGGUAAGACGAGAUAAAACCAAGGAAACUCCACGAAAACAAGAAGACCAAGACCUGCAUUAAAACCCGAGGCGAACUUGUUUACAAGCCCAAAAAUGGGAUGUGCGGCUGCCUUGUCAAGCACGGUUCAGCGUGGUUAGCUUGUUCACAUGUGAAAAAAGAAGGGAGGAAAAGCGGUUGAUGUAUCCAGCAUGGUUCAACCUAGAAAGAAGUGCGGUUGCUGUAUCCAGCACGGGUCUGCCUAAAACAAGUGCGACUGUCAUGUCCAGCACGGGUUAGCCUGGGGUUAGUUGUGUCCCGCACGACGCCUUCUUUGAGUGUUCCCCAAGCGCGAUGCAAGGGCCUUUCACUUGGGCGUGGGCAUAGUCGUGGUUCGAUAGUCAUUCCACCAGCGUGGAGCAUAGGGACUUCCACAUGUGGAUGGGCGGGAGCCCUCCACCGAGGCCACGACGUGGCUCGUCAUGAGCUUCCACUUGGGAGGGUCCGGGCAUAUACAGCCCACUUAUUCUGACGUGAGGGUAUCAUGGGUAUAACUUCCAGAUGUGUUGAAUGUUCCACGCGUUCGACACCGGGCUCCCAACCUCCCUCUUCAGGCACAUGGCACCAAGCCUGGAUACAUGGGCGCUCCUCAAGGGUCCCUUCCAGCCUUCGUCUCAAGGCGCACGGUGCCAAGCCUGGGGACAUGGGCUCUCCCAAAGGGGCCCUUCCUCUCUUCAUCUAUCCGCGACAGUUCUCCACGCGAGGGCGUGGCACUAAAGACCUUUGUGAGAUGACUAGCACGGGUGGCCAGGCUGUGAGCCAGAGCUCGUUCACUUAUAUUUCUCGGCACUUCAAGGACAAGUCCUAACAGAGAUGCCAUGCCUAACACCCACCAUGGAACCGUCACAGGGUGGUUGCGGGGGCGCGUCAGCCCCCGGUGAGCGUCGUAGCACCAGGGCUUAAUGUUUGGACAAACGACCCCAUCUCAUGUGAAACUUAAUUGAGUUCAUUACACAUCCAGAAAACACCCGUUCGAGGCGGUGCAAAAUAAAGGGAAUUGCUUGCCUAACAACCCAAAAAGUCACUUGGCGGCCAUGAUGCCGCGGGAGCGUAAGGCCGUUGGAUGAACAAGGAGUUGUAUGGUUUGGGAAUCGUAUUUGCAUACCAACAAGGUUGAGCUCAAGAACCUGAUCUUACAAGAAGCCCCUGAAACUCCGUAUUUCAUCCAUCCUGGAGGAACCAAGAUGUACCAAGACCUCAAGGCAAGAUUCCCGUGGCACGGCAUGAAGAGAGAGAUAGCCUCUUAUGUUGGUGAGUGUGACGUAUGCCAGAGGGUCAAAGCUGAACAUCAGCGACUCGCUCGACUGUCAUAGCCUCUCAGAGUGCCAGAAUGGAAGUGGGACAAAGUUGGGAUGGACUUCAUCACCAAUUUGCCAAGAUCCAACAAAGGACACAAUUCCAUUUGGGUCACUUUAGAGCACCUGUCCAAUGUGGCCCACUUCAUUCGUGUCAAGACCUCCUCGAUGGGCACAAGCUAGCCAGUCUCUACAUCGAGCGUAUCGUGAGCCUCCACAAAGUUCCCAAGAAGAUUGUGCCAGAUCGAGGUACAUGGUUUACCUUGAGAUUUUGGAAGCAGUUCCAAGGAGCCAUGUGAACCAAGCUUUGUUUUAGCAUUACUUUUCACCCUCUGACAGGCGGACAAAUGGAACGAGUAAAUCAGAUACUCAAGGACAUGCUUCGUGCCUCUCUUUUGGCAUAUGGAGCCAAGGGGGAGGAAUGUUUGCCCUUUGCCGAGUUCUCCUACAACAACACCUACCAGUCUAGUCUACACAUGGUACCAUUUGAGGUGUUGUAUGGAUGCAAGUGCCACACAACCCUCAAUUCGUCAAAAACCGGCAAAUGACUAAUAUUUGGACCAGAUAUUCUCAGCGAAGCCGACGACCAAGUUCAACUCAUCAAGGAACGUCUAGAGACCACUAAGUCAAGGCAGGAGAGCUACACCAACUCACACCGCCAAGAAGUGGACCUCAACAUCGGAGACUAUGUAUACCUCCUUCUCACGCCUCUGAAAAGAACCAAGAGUUUCCACGUUAAGGUGAAGCUUGCACCAAGAUACAUUGGCCCUGUCGGAUUUCGGGCUUCGCAAACCCUAAGGAUUCGAACUUAGGGGUGCAUGCAGAGGCCACUUAACAAAUUCGAUCCCUAGGCUCGCUACUCGAUGAUCAAAGCAGAGAACUCAAUCAAUGGUGAUGAAGACACAGGACACGACAGUUUACCCAGGUUCGGGCCGCUGGGAAACAUAAAACCCUACUCCUGCUUUGGUGGAUUUCCUCUCGUGGAGGUUGGGGAAUGAACUAGUAAAGUGUUCUUCAGCCUCGUGAGGUUAGGUGGCCUUAGAGGUGCGAUGGUGGGUGAGUGAAACGUUCGGGGUCCCCCUUCUAUGAAGCAACCUAUCCUCUAUUUAUAGUGGCGGGCCCGGUCCUCUUCCCUUAUCAUUUCGGCAGGAAUUGAUCCCAUGGUGGCCAAUUUUGAAGGGGGCACAAGAACAUGCUCCCAUGCCCAAAGGUGGUCUUCGCCUGCAAAGUGGCUGCCCGCGCUGCAGCGGCGACGUCCGCCCCGCAGGCGGGCGGCGGUGGCUUGGUUACACCGAAGUGGAAACCUUUGGAAGAUGCCUUCGAGUCUCACGUACGUCCUUGCCCCCCUUUGCACGGCCCUGCCUUCAGCCGUUCGCAUGUCCUUCCGUUGCGUCAUCCUUUACACCGAAGGCCACAAUUUGCCUCGGAAUGUCCGUCAUUUCUGAGGGGUCCUGAGGAGCCCCCGUAUGGGUCAUGAUGUUGUUCCUCCUCGUAAGUCUUGGGCCCUCACGGGGACCUUGCCUUGAGUGACGUUGAGCCUGCUAGUGCUUCGUUGAUGAAGUGGGCCAUCCUCGGGCUGUAGGCAGGCAGGUCUGGGUACCCCAUUCCUAGAACGUCGACAGUAGCCCCCGGGCCCAAGGCGCGCCCGGCCUGGCUUCCUCGUGAAGCCUUGGGGGCAACAUGAAGCGUCGCGGGUCCUAAAUGUUUGCGGACCAGGCUUCUGUCAUGAUCGGUUUCCAAAUAAACUUAAUUAAUUGGAAAUCAUCCAUGUGCAUCCCAAGUGAAGAAAAAAAAUUCUCACUGACAGACUCAUCUCGAUACAGAAAACCAGUAGUACAUAAUAUUAAACAGGUAUAGCAGAGGUUUCUCUACAAUUUAUUACAACAUGCUCACGUCUCACACAAACGGAUAUGUUAAAGUGGAAUAGGAUAAAUCUACUACUCGUAAUAAAAGGGGCACGUCACAUCACAGUAAUGUGACAUGACUAGUACUACUACGUGCCAAGUAUCGGAGUGAGGCUUGAUGAUUUAUUCACGAUGGCGGAAGCGGUGAAACAAUAUAGCGGCACACUCCAGGAUUGCAAGACUGACGGGGACUCCUCUAGACAUCGGACUCGCUAUCGAACUCUUCAUCCAUGAGGUCUCCUUCAUCCAGAUCUUGCCACAUCAACAAGCUAGUGAGUACUUCGAAAAGUACUCGCAAACAGUUUGCACAAAAGAUGAGAUGCAUACAGUUGGUUACUAAUAUGCAUGGUUCAGAUUAUAUAGUAUAACAAUGAAUGUGCUAGAAAUAAAUUAAGUUAGUGGAUAAAUCGGGGGGUAAUCCUCCCGAAUAUCCUAAUAGAAAGGUAAAAAUACACCGAACGGGUGUGUGGAGCGACGCCUCGAAAAGUUAACAAGGGUUAAUAAACCACCGUCGGGCGUCUGAGCGACACCACAUACAGGGCAUAAAAUAAAUAGCAAGCCGCAGACGGGAAUCUUAGCGACACCACAGUAAGGGCAUAUAAAUAAUUAACAAGCCGCAGUCGGGCAUCUUAGCGACACCACAGAAAGGGCAUAUGAAUAAAUAACAAGCUGCAGUCGGGCGUCUUAGCGACACCACAGAGAGGGCAUAUAAAUAAAUAACAAGCCGUAGUCAGGCGUCUUAGUGACACCACAGAAAGGUCAUAUAAAUAAAUAACAAGCCGUAGUUGGACGUCUUAGUGACACCAGAGAAAGGGCAUAUAAAUAAAUAAGAAGUAUCCAAGUGUUACAACCAACCUUCAGGAUAAUUCAUGAACCAAUAAAUAAUUUGAUCGUGUUCCACAUCAUCAUUAGAUUUCCACAACCAUUAUUAGUUCCACCACUUAAACUCCAAGGACCGACUCUAAGACCGACACUUGACUCGUCAAACAACAUCCUUGAUCGUGGACAUGGCUACUCGAAUAGUUUUUACUCUGCACAGGGUGUACUCUUUACCCAUAGCUCACGGGUUUCGGUAGCCAACAAGACUAAUCCCGCGUACGACAUUUUAGAAGCAGACACUCAGAACCAGCACACACCCAUUUUACCACCACGAAGCCCGACUAGCAUGGGAUCAAAAUUUAUACCAUAAGAUGGGGUGGCUCCGACCUCGACUAGCAUGGGAUCAAAAUUUAUACCUCACGGGGAGUUCCCUCCCUUCUGGUCCAGCACCGGAAACACCCAUGCCCCCUGAACGGAUGAUUGGAUUUAGUCCAGGGCUAUGGAUACCUUCAUUCCGGCCCCUCUACUUGGUAUGUGACUGAUAAUAGGUCUACAUCUGACUAUACCGAAUCCAUUAUCCAGGAAACUGUGGUAGCACGAUAUAGAAAGUAUGAUACAGACAAGACUCGAUCUAGGUCAAUACUGGAGUUUUUCAAAUUUUACCAACACCAUCGUGCCCUUGUCAUGACCAGGCCAUAACCUAUCACGUUCCGUGUGACUAGGUUAUCCACGACCUCUCAUAACUAUCACAUGUCAUUGUCAUGUUUUAUCAUUGUUAUAAAUAUGUAGCAUGUAUGAACAAUGGAAGAUGAUGAAUAUUAAAAUACUGGUUAGUUAGCAAGCAACACAUCAAGAGUUCAAACAUGCUUGCCUAGUUCCACGUAGUCGGUAUCAAGCUCGGAGCAGUUAACGUCGUUGUUCCCCUUGUCGGAAUCUAGGUUAUAAAUCAUGUAACGUCGUAAGGGGUAAGGCCUAGAUACUGGCUCCGCAAUAAAUCUAGGAAAAUAUAUAAAUAAACUAGGCACUAUAGGGAUUGUUUUGCAAAAUAAAUAAUUGAAGAAGGUGUCGUAAAUCCAAAGUUAUGGGCAGAACAAUUUCAGGGACUCUUCUGAAAUAAAAAGAAACUAGUCGAGUAGUUAGCUUGUGAUAACUCAAAGCGCCCGAAUAAAAAAUGUUUUCCUGAAACGAAAAUUGUUUCUGUAAGAAUACGUUUCCUUCAAAACAUUUCAGAGGAGAGAGGAGACGCUGAUAAGGGGGUCCUCCUGUCAGGUUCGAAGGCUCACCGGUGCCAGAUGCUCACGUUGGUUGUCGGCGGCGAUAGGAAGGAGGAGGGGGUUGGAUAAGGGUGUCGCUGCACUCAUCGUCGACCCACCCAUCUAAGAGAUGAUGUUUUGGACCAGCAGGAGGCUUCAUGUUGACGGCAGCUUCACUCUCGCAGACGGCAGCUCCGGUCAAGCUUCGAUCCUUUCAACAAAGAAGCUCCUGCGUUCGAUUGGGCGAGGGGUUAGGAGGGGAAGCGCACUAGGGGGCUAAUGGAAGUUAGAGAAGGUCCUACCACAACCUACCUAGCUCAGAAGUAGCCACCGAAGCAGAUCGGGGCGGACGGAGUUGGGGAAAAAGGUCCCUUCGAGGACCCUCUUUGUUUCGGGCAGUGCUGUGGGGUGGAGGAGAAUAGUGGAGAGGUGGGUGAUCGUCUCAGAACCUCGGGGGAGCGCUCCAUUUAUAGAAGCCGAGGGGAGGAGCUGCAGCAUUAAGUCUGGCAAGCAAUUCCGGAGAAGCAGGGGGUCAGGUAGGAAAUUAGGUGGUCCGUCUCGUACCUAACAACCAACGGAAGUCCAUUUUUGACCUAAAGCUAGUCGGUCAUCAACGGAGAUUGCGCAGCAACGACGAGGUGCUCGUUGUGCACAGCGGCGGCAGUGUUCGUGUUCUGAGCAGCUCGGUGCAUAGCGAGGUCUUUCGCGGCGUGCACUGGCGAUGUAGGAUAGGCGGAGGCGGCAGGAGCGUUGGGCGGUGCCGGGCGGCGUGGGGCUGUAGCAGGGAAGGUGUUGUGGUCGUUGCAGCCGCAGUAGGGGCUACUGCCGGAGCUUGGCCGGCUCGGCCAGCUCACCACCGACGCUAGCCUUCGUCCAAGGCUUUGCGCGGCGCGCGGAUAUGCUCAAGCACAGGAUAAACUGGCUCAAGCGCCGAUCCUGUGGAGAUUAACGAGGUUGGGCUCUGCUGCACUGAAACUGAACAUGUCUGAAUUAAUUUCAGAGAAGAGCAGUAACACCAGUGCAGGACAAGGUCUUGAUGAAAUGAAAAUGGCGCGAGCCUAAGGAGUUUUGAGCUGAAAUUUUUUGGGAGGGCUCUCAUUGUGUGCAGAGAUAGUGUAAAAAAUUCAGAAUUUUUGAAAAGUUUGAAGGUAGGUUUUAAAUGAAAAUAGUAUUCUGAGGUCAAAAUUGAGUCAAACCAAAGUUGAAAAUUUCGUGAUGAAGAUGGUUGAGGAUACUAAGGUCUACUAACUGCAAGAGUGUGGGUUCAAGACUGCAAAGGAAUCACUAGGUUCCUUUGUAAAUUUACUAGGGCCAAAUCUAACUACAAAAUUUGUAUUUAUUAAAAAUAAAAUAUAAANNNNNNNNNNNNNNNNNNNNNNNNNNNNNNNNNNNNNNNNNNNNNNNNNNNNNNNNNNNNNNNNNNNNNNNNNNNNNNNNNNNNNNNNNNNNNNNNNNNNUCACGAGCCCCGCACCUCCCCUCGUCCCACCAACCCACGAAGCCGUGCCUCCCUCGCUCCCCCACCUACCGCCCCACUCCCUCUCGUCCCUCUCUCCCCCACGACCGAGGCUCUUCCUCCCUCCUCCUAGAUCGCAUCGCCCCGACUGUCUCGCUCGCGCCGUCAGCCCUCCCCUCCCGUCGCUCCACCCGUCAUCGCCCCCACAGCGCCUCCUGCUCGCCCCAUCUCGUUCCCCACGGUGCCCCCCUGCGCCCUUGAUCCCGUCCAUCGCAGCAGCCUCCUUCACCCCCUGGCCUCUCCUCUCUAGCGCCCCAUCUCCCCUUGUUGGAGCCCUCCACGUCGCCCCAUCGAAGCCCCCUACUCCCUCUCGCCGGCGCGCCCCACCCCGCGCCACCUUGCUCCUCCCUAGAGCCCAGAUCCCGCCGCACCUCCAUCACUGAGGCGCGCCCUCGCACCCCGCCAUGGCGCGCCGCACCGGGACCAUGCCACCCCGCCCCGGGUCACCUCCGCCGUCGCCCCGCCUCGGUUCCACCACACGGGAGCACCUUCGCCGGCCGGCUCGACCACCGCCACCACCGCCCCUCCCGGCGUCUCCACCGGCCCUGCCUCGUCGGGGGCCUCUCCGGCCACCAUCGUCGGUGCUUCCACCAACGUCCACACCACCAACCCCUUUGUCUCCGCAUCGUCAAGCCUCCCCGAGCCCAUUUUUGCACAUCUACAAGGCUCUGUGAGAACACCCCUCAAAUCCUCUCUCCGUUCCGGCGAUCGCCGUCACGUACCGGCACCGUUGAGGUCAUGUAGGUGUAGGUGGAGAUAGCCUCCUCUCUCUCUAUUGAGAGAGAGAGAUGAACAGAGAGAUGUCACUGAGUGUUAGUAUAGAAAGAGAAAAGAAAAAAUGGAAAACGAUAAUGUAUAUGUGUAUGUAUGUAUGUAUUAAUGUAUGUAUGUACGUAUGUAU
rnacentral:lncRNA from 1 species